rnacentral:rRNA from 1 species
GUGUUGUGAAAUGUUGGGUUAAGUCCCGCAACGAGCGCAACCCUUAUCCUUUGUUGCCAGCGGUCCGGCCGGGAACUCAAAGGAGACUGCCAGUGAUAAACUGGAGGAAGGUGGGGAUGACGUCAAGUCAUCAUGGCCCUUACGACCAGGGCUACACACGUGCUACAAUGGCAUAUACAAAGAGAAGCGACCUCGCGAGAGCAAGCGGACCUCAUAAAGUAUGUCGUAGUCCGGAUUGGAGUCUGCAACUCGACUCCAUGAAGUCGGAAUCGCUAGUAAUCGUAGAUCAGAAUGCUACGG